ACCAUAGGAAAUCACUUCCUGUAGUCCCAGCUACUCAGGAGGCUGAGACAGGAGGAUUGCUUGAGUCCAGGAGUUCUGGGCUGUAGUGCGCUAUGCCGAUCGUGUGUCCGCACUAAGUUCAGCAUCAAUAUGGCGACCUCCCCUGGGAGCGGGGUUGAGGGCACCAGAUUGCCUAAGGAGGGGUAAACGGGCCAGGUCG
rnacentral:sRNA from 1 species